rnacentral:rRNA from 1 species
UACGUAGGGGGCAAGCGUUGUUCGGAGUUACUGGGCGUAAAGGGUGUGUAGGCGGUUGUUUAAGUUUGGGGUGAAAUCUCCCGGCUCAACUGGGAGGGUGCGCCGAAUACUGAAUGACUAGAGUGCGGGAGAGGAAAGUGGAAUUCCUGGUGUAGCGGUGAAAUGCGUAGAUAUCAGGAGGAACACCGGUGGUGUAGACGGCUUUCUGGACCGUAACUGACGCUGAGACACGAAAGCGUGGGUAGCAAACAGG